GAAAAACGCAACUUUGUUUUAAACAGGUGAUAUCGACACUGAAUUUGAACAUGAAAGGACCACAUUAUAUCUAGACGGGUGAUCAUUACAGUUCGGAGACAAGACAUUGACCUUCCAACAUCAUCAGCAGCAUAUAUACAUCAAGGAACAUCAAAAAAACAAGAGCUCCACAGAAACAUUAGGAACAAGAACACAAUGAGCAGAGGACACAACAUGGCUAUCAAGUCAAAAGCAUGAAGAAACUGAGCUUCAAAAUUCAAAUGCAUGGAGAAGCAUAAAGACGAAAUCUUUUCCAGUAAUUAGAACAAAGGGC